rnacentral:misc_RNA from 1 species
GAUGAAGAACGCAGCGAAAUGCGAUAAGUAAUGUGAAUUGCAGAAUUCAGUGAAUCAUCGAAUCUUUGAACGCACAUUGCGCCCAUUAGUAUUCUAGUGGGCAUGCCUGUUCGAGCGUCAUUAAGUCCACUUAAGCCCUGCUUAGUGUUGGGAGACUGCUCCAGCGGUGCUACCCUGUAGCUACCCUGCAGCUCCUCAAAGACAGCGGCGGAGUUGUGGUAUCCUCUGAGCUUAGUAACUUGUUCUAGCGUUCGAGUACACCACUUCCCCUGCCGUAAAACCCUUAAUUUUUAAUGGUUGACCUCGGAUCAGGUAGGAAUACCCGCUGAACUUAAGCAUAUCAAUAAGCGGAGGA